CAACAUGUGUCCAUUGAUGAUUGU
rnacentral:siRNA from 1 species